rnacentral:misc_RNA from 1 species
GAUGAAGAACGUAGCGAAAUGCGAUACUUGGUGUGAAUUGCAGAAUCCCGUGAACCAUCGAGUCUUUGAACGCAAGUUGCGCCCGAAGCCAUUAGGCCGAGGGCACGCCUGCCUGGGCGUUACACGUCGUUGCCCCCCCAUCUACUCCUUCGGGAUUGCGGGGGGCGGAUGAUGGCCUCUCGUGCGCCUCGUCGCGCGGUUGGCCUAAAUGCCAAGUCCUCGGCGACGCACGCCACGACAAUCGGUGGUUGCGAAACCUCGGUUGCCUGUCGUGUGCGGUCGUCGCGCAUCGAGGGCUCGAAAAAAUUGCCGGGCUUCGGCUCGACUUUCAACGCGACCCCAGGUCAGGCGGGGUUACCCGCUGAAUUUAAGCAUAUCAAUAAGCGGAGGA